rnacentral:lncRNA from 1 species
AUAUAUGCCCUGUUAGUUGUACCUCGCAGGCUUUCUUUUUUCUUGAGAUAAACAGAGCAGGUCUUUGAUAUCUGGGACCGUGCAGUUGUCAACUUCCUAGAUACUGCACAACCUAGUUUAUUUCUAUCUGACUAUUUUCUUCCGAGGACCAAUAUUAAAUUACUCAAUGGUGUGGUUACAUGGUGGCGUCAACUUAGUCAACAAAUGAUUCUGCAUGCCAUAGCCAUUGGAUUGACAUCAAACGUCUGUCACCCUUCUUCUAUCUCUUGUUUUCUUCCUCCAGCCGCCCAAGCAAAACCAGACCAUGAGGACCAUC